rnacentral:rRNA from 1 species
UACAGAGGGGGCUAGCGUUGUUCGGAAUUACUGGGCGUAAAGGGCGCGUAGGUGGCCUGUUAAGUCGAACGUGAAAUCCCCGGGCUCAACCCGGGAACUGCGUCCGAUACUGGAUGGCUUGAAUUCGGGAGAGGGAUGCAGAAUUCCAGGUGUAGCGGUGAAAUGCGUAGAUAUCUGGAGGAAUACCGGUGGCGAAGGCGGCAUCCUGGACCGGCAUUGACGCUGAGGAGCGAAAGCCAGGGGAGCAAACGGG